GUUCUUGAAGUGCAACCUUGUGAACCAACCUUUGGAAGGUAAAGCAGCCUUGAACUCUUGUAAAAGCUUGUAGCAAUUGAGUAGAAAUGUUAAUUUUGAUGUUGUAAGAUGCUAAUAAGGGUUAAUGAUGGUUUAUAUAUCACUUUUGUGGGUUUGUAUGGAAGAUUUGGUGAUUUUUAUGGUGGUUUGAGAAAAUUCCAGCAAGUGAUACAAAUUUCCAGUUUUGAUGCUUUAAAUUUCUGUUAUGAUGGAUAUGGUGCAUGUUCUUGAGUUAGGGUUGAGGUUUUCAACUGUAUUUCUUGUUGGUUAGAUGGUAUAUGAUGUAUAUAAGUUGGUAUAAGAGGUGGUAGUGAUGAUUUCAAGCUAAAAAUGAGAUUUAUACCUUGAUUGUAGCAAAUUUCCACGCGGUUCUAAUUCACCAUGUUAGAGGCCGAAUUUGGCUUAACCUAAAACAUGAAAGUUGUAGAAAAUGAUGUUUUAUAGUUGCUUGCAAAAUUUCAGCUCAAUCAGAGCAGAGUAUCUUGUGAAAUGACAAAAUUGCCCCUG
rnacentral:lncRNA from 1 species